rnacentral:rRNA from 1 species
AUUGAACGCUGGCGGCAUGCUUUACACAUGCAAGUCGAACGGCAGCGCGGGCUUCGGCCUGGCGGCGAGUGGCGAACGGGUGAGUAAUCCAUCGGAACGUGCCCAGUAGUGGGGGAUAGCUCGGCGAAAGCCGGAUUAAUACCUCAUACGACCUGAGGGUGAAAGCGGGGGAUCUUCGGACCUCGCGCUCUUGGAGCGGCCGAUGGCAGAUUAGCUAGUUGGUGGGGUAAAGGCCUACCAAGGCGACGAUCUGUAGCUGGUCUGAGAGGACGACCAGCCACACUGGGACUGAGACACGGCCCAGACUCCUACGGGAGGCAGCAGUGGGGAAUUUUGGACAAUGGGCGAAAGCCUGAUCCAGCAAUGCCGCGUGUGGGAUGAAGGCCUUCGGGUUGUAAAGCACUUUUGGCGGGAAAGAAAAGGACUGUGCCAAUACCACGGUUCGAUGACGGUACCCGCAGAAUAAGCACCGGCUAACUACGUG